rnacentral:rRNA from 1 species
GGAGGAUGCGAGCGUUAUCCGGAUUUAUUGGGUUUAAAGGGUGCGUAGGUCGCCGAUUAAGUCAGCGGUGAAAUCCAGUGGCUCAACCAUCGGACUGCCGUUGAAACUGGCCGGCUUGAGUAUGAUUGAGGCAGGCGGAAUGCGUGGUGUAGCGGUGAAAUGCAUAGAUAUCACGCAGAACCCCGAUUGCGAAGGCAGCUUGCCAAGCCAUGACUGACACUGAAGCACGAAAGCGUGGGUAUCAAACAGGAUUAGAUACCCUGGUAGUCCACGCAGUAAACGAUGAUUACUAGGAGUUUGCGAUA